rnacentral:rRNA from 1 species
AGUAACGCGUGAGGAACCUGCCUUCCAGAGGGGGGACAACGAGUUGGAAACGACUGCUAAUACCGCAUGAUGCGUUGGAGCCGCAUGACUCCGACGUCAAAGAUUUAUCGCUGGAAGAUGGCCUCGCGUCUGAUUAGCUAGUUGGUGAGGUAACGGCCCACCAAGGCGACGAUCAGUAGCCGGACUGAGAGGUUGGCCGGCCACAUUGGGACUGAGAUACGGCCCAGACUCCUACGGGAGGCAGCAG